AUACAUACCCGGCACAGGUGAUGGGCCCUGAUCACGAAGGCGUUCCCUAGGGGGAAGAUCACCAAAAGCACUCAGUUGGCGCCGAAACCCCCGCGAAUAACCCAAAUGUUAUUAAAUUGGUGCGCAAUUUUUUUGGGAGCGGGGGCCUGCGUUCCCUUU